rnacentral:rRNA from 1 species
GAUCCUGGCUCAGAUUGAACGCUGGCGGCAGGCUUAACACAUGCAAGUCGAACGGUAACAUAAAGAAGCUUGCUUCUUUGAUGACGAGUGGCGGACGGGUGAGUAAUGCUUGGGAAUCUAGCUUAUGGAGGGGGAUAACUACGGGAAACUGUAGCUAAUACCGCGUAAUAUCGAAAGAUUAAAGUGUGGGGACCUUCGGGCCACAUGCCAUAGGAUGAGCCCAAGUGGGAUUAGGUAGUUGGUGAGGUAAAGG